GAUGAACGCUGACGGCAUGCUUAACACAUGCAAGUCAACUCUGGCGGUCGGGUGAGUAACGCGUAAAGAACUUGCCUCAUAGCUAGGGACAUCACUAGGAAACGAAUGCUAAUACCUGAUACUGUGAGAGAGCGUGGGGUCCCAUUAGCUAGUUGGAGAGGUAACGGCUCACCAAGGUGAGGAUGGGUAGCCGGACUGAGAGGGUGAUCGGCCACAAGGGGACUGGGACACGGGCCUUACUCCUACGGGAGGCAGCAGUGGGGAAUAGUGGACAAUGGACCAAAGUCUGAUCCAGGAAUUCUGUGUGCACGAUGAAGUUGUCGGAAUGUAAAGUGCUUUGAGUUGGGAAGCGGUACCAACAGAAGAAGUGACGGCUAAAUACGUGCCAGCAGCCGCGGUAAUAC
rnacentral:rRNA from 1 species